AGUAAAACGCAGGCAAAACCAAGAAUUAAAAUUUGCAAUGUGCACCUAAAAUACAAACUGGAUUCAAAUCUGCGAUACAUUUACGAGCUAAAAGCUUCGAUCAACGUUCAACUCCGAGCUCUCCGGUGACGCCUCGCAGGGCUGCGUGCAAGGGUUGUUGGCGUUUGAUUGACAGGCGGCGGAAAGAGAGAGAGAGGGCGCUGAGCUGACGCCCGGGCGCGGAGCGAGCCGCUGAUUGGCGGUGGGCGGCGGGUCAGGGUUCGCCCAGGCUCCAAUCGCAGCGAGCGUCCGUGCGUGCUGUCCGUGUGGCUGCUGCGUGGGGCCGCCGGCCGUUGGAUGGACGCUGGGAAACUGCGGGGAAACUCCAAGGCGUCGCGACUUGCAGCCCGUUAUUGCACCCACCAGCCCUUCACUGAGCUAAACGCCAACUCUCGCUGCUUUUUGAGGGCGGAGGGCUGCAGCCCGUCGAGGUGGAGCUCUUGGUGUUGCCAGGGGCGACCCGCCUUCCCCGCCACCAUUCCGGGCCGGGCCGAGGAUUGUGGGGGCCACGGCGUCAUUCUGGCCGCCGCCGCCGGGUGGCGCUGCGGGUAGAUUUCUGGCGACCUGAGCCGGGCCAGCGAGCCCGGGGGCUCCGGCUUCACCCGGCUGGGGAGGAGGGGGGGGUGCAGACAGGAUUACACACGCCUCUGCCCCACGGGGGAAGCAGGAUCAUCCAGCCGGGGGCUCGGCAGAGGCACUCCAUUCAGCUUCCAACAUGAACAACGUCCAUCCCCUAUUAUUGCAGAACACAGACGGUUCGGGCAAUAGUCAGUGUGUCUCUCCUAGCACUUCAGGAUGCUUGUAUCGGAUUGUGCAGACAACAGGUCUGGAUGGAAAGAACCUGCUGAAGCUAAUUCCACUCUCCAACAACACUAUACAUUACAUCCCGGCUGUUCCUCUUUCAAUUUCCACUGGGAGUACCUCCACCAAAAUAAGCAUGAUCCCUGUUGCAACAACAGAUUGCAGUGGUCAGACAUGUCUUCCAAUAUUGCAGCACACCAACACAGGAAGAUUUCUGAUAACGUCAGUUGAAGCACCUACAAGCAACAGUAAGGUUCCUCCAGCCAACAGUUCACAAGAAAAAAUACCUGCAGCACCAACAGUUGCACCUUUGCAAUGUCCUGGUCUGACAGCAGUUACUUUAUCUGGGCUACCCAUUCAGACCAAAGCAGCUGCUACUUCAGCUGUAGACAAAGGGUCACGUAGUCUGAAAACAGCUACGGUUCAGAGUUCAGCUGUACAGAAAACCCAACCACCGCCUACUUUGCCAUUGGAACAACAGAUUUAUAAAGUUGCUUUGUCAAAUCUAGCAUUGCAGAAUACCCAACCUCCUCCCACUUUGGCUCAAGAUCAAAUGGCUUAUAAAGUAACUACAGUUAGUGUGCAUGGUACACCUGUACAGAAAACCCAAGCAUCUUCAACGUUACCUAAGGAUGCACAGAGUCAGAAGCCAACAACAGUUCCAUCGCCUGGGGUGUCGGUGCAGAAGCCUCAAGCAUCUCCCGCUUCAACUGUGGAUCAUAAGACUUACAUGUUUUUAAAGUCUCCAAUAUUGCCUUCUGGCCAUCAUCUUCAGAUCCCAGCAAAUGCAGAAGUCAAAUCUGUACCAGCAUCCCUACUGCCUCUUGCCAUCCAGCAGAAGAUUUUGGCUACUGCAGCCGCCAACCUUGCUGGCUUGAGUCAAUCUUCAAAGUCACCUCCAACCGUUAUUUAUGUUUGUCCAGUCAAUACUGUGAAGACGAUACAGAAGCGCCUCCCAAGCAUUCGCCCGAAGAACAUUGUAGAGGUCCCCACAGUGGUCAUUUCUGGCGACAGCCCUGUGCCUAGCUCAGCACCACCUGCCAGAAGUGCGGCAGUUUCUAACUCUGAGCAGUCCACGCCCCAGGACACUUCUCUGAACUCGGCUAUGCAGAACAAACAACAGUUUUCACCACGUUGCCUUAUCCCAGUUAAAUCUUCCAAUAAUUUGGCCUCGAAGAUCUUGAAGAACCUGGCUGAUCAGCAGCAUGCAAAAGGAGAGCUGAUAAGCCUGAUACCGCCAACAUCAGUUUCACAGAAAGAGACCAACGUAGAUUUGUUUCCAACACUGAAGGAGAAUGCCCUGGUUAUGUACAACGGUAAAGUCUACCUUGUCAUCCAGAAGAACAAUGAAUCAUCCAGUCCAGGUCCUGAGACUGACUUUCUGAAGGUGAAACAUAUAGAAAAGGAGAGUACCUUGUCUAGUGACUUACCACAGACCAAAUUACAAAUUAAAAUCAAAGAGGAACCAGAGGACCCUGAUUUUGAACCUGUCCAUCAGCAGGAGAAGCAGCUUGAAAGCUGGCCCACAGAAAAGUGUGAUGUCCAGAAUCCCAGUAACAUGUACAGGGCUCAGGGUAGACCAAUCAAGUCCGAGCUGAUGGAGCCGGCUUGUGGGACGGUUGGAGAAGAAACUGAUGAGCAGUUAUUGAAGAAGGCAGGAAUUCACUCUGAUCUCCGAAUCUGCCUCACCAGAAUUUCCCCUAAACUGCUCGAACAAUGGGAGAAGAGCAAAUCCCCUGCAAUCUCUGAGUCAGUGGAGUCAUCCGCUCCUCAGACCAAGAAAGCAGAUGACCUUUCAACUGAUGCAAUUAGUAGAGAAACUCAAGUGAAUUUGAUGCUUCCAGUUAAGAAGGAGGAGCCUAUAGAUGCAGGAUAUUAUGCAUAUCAUACAAAGGAGAUAAAGAUUAAACUUGAGCCUCAAUCGCCAGUGAAAAGAAAACCGGAGAGUGUCGAUUAUUCAGUGCCAGUUAAGAAACAGUGCCUAGAAAGGGUCAUUUCAAAUUGGGAAUCUGAGCAUGCCUACAGCUGUCUUUCUGUGAACAGUACAGAAACACCUACCCCCAAUACAGAUGAACCCUCCCACAUCAACUCUCACAGUGAACAAGAGGCACUCGCCAGCAUAACUGAGCCCAGCUCGGUACCAGAGGAGCACUUGAUAAUGGAAUCCUCUCCCACUGUCAUGUUCAACACUGGGACAAAUAAUGCCCGUUGUCUUCAUAUGGCUCCCUCCAUUGUUCCUGCACCCAGCAUCUCAUCUCUUUCAAUAGGACACUCCUCUGCCACUGAGAUCAGCACAGCACAACCUUACACUCCUCCUCUUCCCUUGAGUGUUGAUGAAACUACACGCGAUGAGAAGAUCAGGCGACUGAAAGAGAUCCUGAAAGAGAAGGAGGCUGCGCUGGAAGCAAUACGGAAGAAAAUGGUUUUAGCACCUUUAUAAAGUUCUUACUCAAAUUUAGUAAUUUGUGUCCUUGCAGUGCUAGUCCUUGAAGAUCUGAAUAUUUGUUCUAUGUGAUCUGUCUCUUGGUGUGGUUAAAAUGGCAAAUAUUUAAAUUGUCUUUGAAAUUAGUCAUUUUUGCUGCUUAGUUCAGCAGCCACAUUUUAAUUUCAAUAUUUGCAAUUUUAAAUUGUAGAAAAAUUGAAUCAGCGUGAUAAUUGCACUUUGUUGUAUAAUAAUAUUUGGUCCUUCAGUUUUAUUGGGUCUGUUUAGUGAGUAAUGUUCUGUUCAAUUGUGUGCUACGUAUUCUUUGAACCUAAAAAUGCAUUUUAUUCUUGUGUGUACUCCUGGACUAACAAACUGGGUUCACAUUGUACAUAUUGUACUGGUGUUGUAAACACACCCAAGUCCUGUCCUGUAGGUUCUUCAUUUUAGAAUCUAUUCCCUUCACCACUAUGAAAUCCUUUAUGGAUACAAUAUAUUUUAAAGUUGGUAUGUUAGCAUAAACUAACCUCCACACAGUUUCUUGAAAGGAAAGCUCUUUGCACCUUUUGCAUCUUCCUUCCCGUCCUCUUCUGGUGGUGCUUUUCUUUUCCUGAGAGGAUUGGUUUUCUGUCACUUUGCUAAGCAAGACCAAGAGUAUCUGUAUUUAUCACUCCAAAUGCAGCCAGGGCUCGGUCUCGCACUUAUAGUGAAUUCUCUCAGUACCUCACUGCAUUAAACAUUUAAGUCUUUUGCUGUUCAGAGUUUUUAAUGUUUACAUUAUUUGUCCAUUUAGUAAGGUUACAAUAAUUAUCCUCCAGCAAAUGGAGAUCUUAUGGAACAUUUUUGUUAAAGUGUUUUAAAAUGUUCCAGCUUUUAGAUGCUCCCCAUGUUAGGAAUUUUAUUAGAGCAUUUACGACCACUGACAAGUGGUCUUCUCUCUAUUCAGCAAUCUUGGUAGUGAUUUGGUAGAUUUUUGUUGGGAUGGAGUGAUUCAUAUCCAGAAGAAUAGCAUUAAUCUUUUAUUUAUUCAGUUCACUCUUAGUCUCAGAAUUUUCCAAGAUGCCAUUGAGAUAUAGAGCGCUCCUGUUACUUGAGCAACUCGAGGUUGGUGCAUCUAAUGUCUGCCUUCCGUAUGGGAGAUACUGACUUGUUCACUUUGCCUGGAUUGUCAGCCCGUCUUGGUGAGCUCUGGGUAGAACAUUGGAAUAUCAUCCUUCUUGACAAAAUAAUCCAAAAGUUAGCCAGAUAAUCAUUCCUUAUGGUGUUAAUUAUGUCUAGAACCUGAGGUCUGGAUGUAAGAAUUGUUUAGUAUUCACACUGGUGGCUAGGAUGUGUCAAGGUAUUGUAGUACUGGUUGGUGCCCUGCCCCUGCUCCAUGCUCUCUCUCCCCACCACUGUUGUAUUGAUUGUGUCAGUGUAUAUGUUUGCAUAAGGCACUGGUGCACAUAAAUACUGAGUGACUGCACAUUUAUUGAGCCUAACUAUCAGACACCAAUGAUCCAGUUUUACGGUUUCACUUUAGAUUGAGACUUGUCACCAUGCAUUAAUAUUAUUCAAUGCAGGAAUGCAAAGGUGUAAUUUACUUCUGGUGAACAGCUAUUUUGUUUUUUGGCAAGUUACAAUGACCCCCUUUCUGGGAACUUAAGAUUGCAGUUAAGAUUUCUACCAUGGGAUGUGAAGCAAAUCUAUUCUGUGAUCUUGUGUACAAUAUAUUCCAGACAUUUGGAUGUUUGUGGAAAAACUAGCUUCUGUGUUAACCAGGCAAGUCCGUGAUCUAUAGGAACUGCGCUGCACAAGGCAUUUCCAAAUUACAGGUUUGGCAGAAUUGCUAUUUCAGUUCAUACUAUUUUGAGGAAGUAGAAGAUGUUUAUUAGAGAGUGCUUGAGAACCUUGCCUACAAUAUUGACUCUGCAAUUGUGCAGCACAAAUCAGCCAUUUUCCUUAAGUGUAAGGGACUAUCUAGUUGAUGGUAUCAGCUUGUAUAUAGGAAAUUUUGGGUACUGUCAAAGGUUAUUGGAAUAAACCUGCUGGAGCUUUAACAUUUAUAUAACAAUACUGUAUUCUUAGUGGCUGCAAUGCUAUUUGAAAUAUCCUUAGUAUUUUAACCUAAGUAGAACAGAGAAGGGAGAUGAGCCAAAAGUGACAAAGUAGUUGUGGGAAAGGAGCAGGCUACUGAAUAUAUACAGUCUGGCUCUUUAGAAUUUGUUUAUUAUAUUAUUCAUUACUUUCUAAGUAUAAAAGCAAUUUAAGGACGAGCAGUCGCUGACCUUGCUGGCGACAACCUCAUUUUGUAUGUGAAUCCGAAACAAAAAAUUCCAAGAGUUUAUGACUGCAAUUUUGGAAGCAAGUUUGGGGAGUUCUAGAAUGAGCUAUUCUGCCUUCCAUAUUAUAAUUAAACCAUCUUCUUAACAUGCUUAAACUGUAACCUUAAUACUGGCAAUGCAAACUGGGAAAAUGCUUAAUCUGCUGAAACUGGAAGUGUACUGUUUUACAAAAUAAUAUCUAUAUCUUGCAGAUGUGUUAUAAUGCAGAGCACAGGUAAUGGGAAAAAAUCCAGAUCCAAAUAACCAAUGAUUUUGGUAUAAGAUAAAGUUUCUAAAGGAGUUUCAGGGAAAGAGAGAACAUCAUUGAUAAAACGAAGAUCAGUACUGGACAGCAAGCCUGGGCUGAACAAAGUGAAGGAAAAAAUGGAUUGAAAAAGGACUCCCAAAACUUGGAUCUAAUUUAAUAACUUUGUAGUAGAUCAGCUGAGGAUAUGUUCUUGUGAAUAAGGUCUUUCCAACAAUAUUAUGGACUAUAUUCGCCCAAACACCAGACAAGAUCGAGGCUAAACCGUCCACGAAUAGAAAAAGGAAACAAGAAAAGAAGCAGCGUAUUAAGAGAGCGGUUAUAAACAGAGAAUCGGAGCACGCGUACA